AAAUAGAAAACUGGUUCGAACCGGUUUCGUUCUUAUAUUUUGGUGUAUAAACUACAAAAACAUUCGUUUGCAUUAUACAUUCGCCAUUUUACGCUGCGACUGCUCGGUUGUUAUCUGUUAUCUCUUCGAUAAAAGUCCGUGUAACGGCUGUAUUUUUGUGAGUUUUCUGGUCAUUUGUAGCCAGCAACAUGGGCAAAGCAAAGACAUCUGUCGCCCCUGAGCAAAGAAGAUGCUCUGCAAGACUGGCUGCAUCGCAGAAAUCCAAACCACCACUGGAGGCGAAGAAGAAGCCUAUAAAGAGGGUGCCCAAAGCAAAGAAGGCCAAACCAGCUGAGAAUGGGAACACUAAGUGUGAGGAGCCGAAGGCCGACGCCACUGAAGCCAAAUGAACGGUUGAUGUGCUCACUCUGUCUACUUGGUGAUUGUACAGUUUUAAAUAAGUAUUUUUUACCAAGUUUUAUAUUACAAAUGUCAUUUAUAGGUUUGUUUUUGGCUUGCACUUGAUGUAAGAAAACUUUGUUUUCAGUCAUAUCCAUUUUAUAUCCAUUUAAAAGUAAUUUCCGUCCAUAUCUUGUAGACGUGGCAUUUUUAGUUUGUCUAAUCAACUUUUUUUUAUUUUAAACUGCUGAAUAAUAGAUAUUUUCCAACAAGUUGGAUUUUGAAUCUAAUUUUAAACAUUAUGAGGCAGCUAAAGCAUAUUAAAAUUUGCAGGAGAAUAGGAACUUUGCCUUUUAUCUCCUUGUAUUUUAAUGUUGAACUAAUAAAAGAAUUGCUUACCAAAUGUUUUGAAACACUGUAUGUUGAUGAGAUCUAGUCAGUUAAAAUGCCACAAAAAAAAAAAAGAAUACUGUCAUUAGGUCAAAAGUUUGAUAGAUCCCAAAAACAUGUAUGAGAUGUGAACCUGGUCAUCAGAUGAAGGAGUUCUGUUAAGUUAUGUUUCUGUUAGGAGAAAAGAAAGCUUUUCUGACUUCAAUGGUUGAUCUAAAUGUUCUUGAAUAAAACUUUUCAAAAUGUC